UGAGGAAUUUUCCGCAAUGGGCGAAAGCCUGACGGAGCAACGCCGCGUGAGGGAUGAAGUCUCUAGGGAUGUAAACCUCUGUUGGGAGGGACGAAGAUCUGACGGUACCUCCUGAGGAAGCCCCGGCUAACUACGUGCCAGCAGCCGCGGUAAUACGUAGGGGGCAAGCGUUAUCCGGAUUUACUGGGCGUAAAGAGCGCGUAGGCGGUUCCGUAAGUUGGUUGUGAAAGUUCGAGGCUCAACCUCGAAACUGCGUCCAAUACUGCGGGGCUGGAGUGCAAGAGAGGCAAGUGGAAUUUGCGGUGUAGUAGUGAAAUGCGUAGAUAUCGCAAGGAACACCAGUGGCGAAGGCGGCUUGCUAGCUUGUAACUGACGCUGAGGCGCGAAAGCUAGGGGAGCGAACGGGAUUAGAUACCCCGGUAGUCCUAGCCCUAAACAAUGUUCACUAGGUGUUGGUGGUAUUGACGCCAUCAGUGCCGCAGCUAACGCAUUAAGUGAACCGCCUGGGGAGUACGGCCGCAAGGUUG
rnacentral:rRNA from 1 species